rnacentral:rRNA from 1 species
AUUGAACGCUGGCGGAAUGCUUUACACAUGCAAGUCGAGCGGCAGCGCGGCCUUCGGGCUGGCGGCGAGCGGCGAACGGGUGAGUAAUGCAUCGGAACAUGCCCAGUCGUGGGAGAUAACACUUCGAAAGAAGUGCUAAUACCGCAUACGUCCUGAGGGGGAAAGCGGGGGAUCGCAAGACCUCGCGCGAUUGGAGUGGCCGAUGUCAGAUUAGCUAGUUGGUGGGGUAAAGGCCUACCAAGGCGACGAUCUGUAGCUGGUCUGAGAGGAUGAUCAGCCACACUGGGACUGAGACACGGCCCAGACUCCUACGGGAGGCAGCAGUGGGGAAUUUUGGACAAUGGGGGCAACCCUGAUCCAGCCAUUCCGCGUGAGUGAAGAAGGCCUUCGGGUUGUAAAGCUCUUUCGGCAGGAACGAAACGGUGGGCUCUAACAUAGUCCGCUAAUGACGGUACCUGAAGAAGAAGCACCGGCUAACUACGUG